ensembl:snoRNA
AGGUCAUUUCAGAGAGGGCUGAUGGGACUAAAUCCAGGAGCUGUUAACACUGUGACCAAAGAUUGAGUUCUCUAUUGGAUAUAAUAUUAAUAGUAACUCGAUAGUGCUAUGUUUUCCUGAUGGAGAUACAAGC